ACAAUGGGCGCAAGCCUGAUGGAGCAACACCGCGUGAGUGAAGAAGGGUUUCGGCUCGUAAAGCUCUGUUGUUAAAGAAGAACACGUAUGAGAGUAACUGUUCAUACGUUGACGGUAUUUAACCAGAAAGUCACGGCUAACUACGUGCCAGCAGCCGCGGUAAUACGUAGGUGGCAAGCGUUAUCCGGAUUUAUUGGGCGUAAAGAGAGUGCAGGCGGUUUUCUAAGUCUGAUGUGAAAGCCUUCGGCUUAACCGGAGAAGUGCAUCGGAAACUGGAUAACUUGAGUGCAGAAGAGGGUAGUGGAACUCCAUGUGUAGCGGUGGAAUGCGUAGAUAUAUGGAGGAACACCAGUGGCGAAGGCGGCUACCUGGUCUGCAACUGACGCUGAGACUCGAAAGCAUGGGUAGCGAACAGGAUUAGAUACCCUGGUAG
rnacentral:rRNA from 1 species